GGCUACGUUAAUGACAGUACCUUGGACAUGGUAGGCUAGAAAGUCAUGUAGAGCAUUAAAUUGUGUAGGUUCUGAGGGAGAACAUCUCAGCUAAGGUGAAUAUUCACAUAUCUUUAACAUAUAAAGUGAUGGUCAUGGCGAGGUCUCUAUGGGUAAAUUCACGCAGGCGGCAAUUACAUGAUGAAAAAAACAAAGACCAGCUGAAAAAAUGCUGAAAUUUCUAUUUCCGUGCCCCAUCCACCUGCAUCUUCUUGAGCCAUUCGACGUUUACAUUUAUUGUCCCAGAUCAACUCCAGGGAUGCCCUUUCUCAAUCGUUUCUUCUUCUUCUCAGAUAAUGUAAGUGUGUUACAUCCGUCAUUAGGAAACCACUGUCUUGCUGCAUUUUUAAGAAAUUUUAGACUAUUGCAUUUCUUAUGCAUUCAUUUUUCUGAAGUCCAAUGACAUGCAGUGAAAUGAACAAGCCUUAAAUGAACAGUUAAGAAAGUUGAACACAUGCAUAGCCCACGUAGCCCGCUCUACAGUCAUAAUAAAAGGCAUCUUAUCAUCCCAGAAGGCUCCCUUCUUUUUUCUCUUGCAAGUGUGGUGUUGGGAAAUGUGUGAUUUAUGCAGUAGGAAUAGUUGCUGCCUUAUUUCUGUCAAUAAGGCAUCAAUGCUUGAGUUGCAAUUUUAAGCUUUAUACUAGUGAUGUAUUAUGUAUGUGGGUUAGGAAGUCCUGGACUGUGGAUUCGGCGUAAAUGGUCCCUUGAUAAUCGUCUGUGAGUGGAUCCAGUACUUCUGCUCUGUUUGUUCUGUAUGUGCCUGAAACAGCUGUUUUCCCUGAUGCUCAGAGGUUCUUCCUGUGUGAGUCCCAAGCACAGAUCUUUGUUGUGUCGGGUAUUUUCCACGGCCUGGACACCAAGCAAAGGAGAUCAGAAGCCCCAGAGGGGACUUGACAUCAGAAGGUUUUUGUCUAUUGCCAUGUACUCCCCUAAGACGCUGUCUCUUUAGCUGGCCCUUUUCAGCCUUUCCGCCCAUAGGAAAACAAGUGGGCAGGCAGCUGUUUUCCAGCUCUCUGAAUGCCGAGUGCGUUCCAGGCAGAGAAAAUAAUAAGACACGUGGGUCACAGUAUCAGCCCCAGACACUUUUGCUUAGUAGGAACUCAGUGCUUCCACUAGCAGGUAAGGUUAGUUCAGUAGGUGAGAAACUCUUAGGCAUGAUAGUCUCUGGACGCUGGACACUGGAGGUUUCCUGAAGAAAUACAUCAACUGUAUACGUUACAGAGCUUUUGGUAGAAGAACGAUCAUGAUGCUUAGACUGGGCUUCACAAAUGCUGGUAGAGUCCUUGGACUCAUUACAGCAAAAUUCUGUAUCCUUUUGAGGACAGACAAAACUUGGAAAAGCCUCGCUGCAUGUAGCUCAUGAUAGUGGAGCUAUAACAUCAUGAAUCAUCGGUAUUUUGGGAUAUAAGACAACAGACUUUAUUUUGUCCUUUAAGAUGACUUUUCUCAAUUUUCUUUCUGGGCUCGGUGGUUUCCUAUGAGAUUCAAUAGGUCUGAAAUAGUAAGAACCAAGGGAAUUUCAGUGCUCUCUUUCCUCACGCAAGAGAGAAACCUGCUCCUCCUCAUGAGAAAUACAGAUGGAUCUCUUAGUCUGAAGUCAGAGAAGAAUAAGGGAAACAGAAUCCAGUCGUUCUAGAGGUUCGGUCCCUUUCCCACAGGAAAAAAUAUAUUAAUAGCACGAGCAGCUUUACAAAAAGCUUUGAAACAAAGGCAAGAGAAUUAGACAUACGCUUUAAUCUUGGCGUGCUGCCAUCCAUUUCUCAAGGACGACUAUAACGGAAUGUAUAACCAGCUAUUUUGUCUCCAUCAACAAGAAAAGAAAAAAUAUGAAGAAGAUAUCUUUUUACUCCAUUUCUUAGAGAUUCUAGAAGUUUAUAAAUCUGUAAAAGCAAUGCUGAAUCAGUGCACUGAAAUGCCCUGUAUUACUCAUAGUGGUUUAUUGAUCUGUUUAUCAAACACAUCAAGAGAACUUACUUAAUAUAGAUAAUGUUCUAAAUGCUCUUAAAAUAAGGUAGAAACAGAAAAUUAUGUGACAAUCACACACACGCACAAACACAUAAUUGGAGAUUUUGCUGUUUCUUCUCUCCUGGGUUCAGGUUACUGUCUCUCAAAACUGAGAUGCGUGAUCCAUGACUAGUUAUCGUAAUUGGUCUGAAUCCCUGUACAGAUCUUCCUCAACUUACAGUGGGUUACAUCCUGAUAAACUCACCAGUAAGGUAAAAAUAGCAGAUGUCAAAAAGGUAUUUAAUACAGCCAACCUACUGAACACCACCGCGUGGCCUGGCCUCCCUUCAAUGUUCUCAGAACGAUUACUUUGGCCUAAAGUUGGGCAAAAUCAUCUAACACAAAAAGCCCAUUUUAUAAUUGAGUGUCGACUAUUUCCUGAAAUUUAUUGACUACUGUACAGAAAGUGGGAAACAGAAUGGUUUUGUGAGUGUGCAGGUGUUGUGAGUGUGCAGGUUGGUUGCCCUUUUUAGUGCAGGUUGACUGGGAGCUACGGCUCAGUGCUGCUGCCCAGAAUCAGGAGAGAGUAUCUUACUAUAUGUGGCUGGCCUGGGAAAAAAGCAAAAUUCAAAAUUCAAAGCACUCUUUCUAGUGAAUGUGUGUCACUUUUGCAUCCCUGUAAAGUCAAAAAGUUUUAAGUCAAAUCACUAGGUUGGGGACAACCUGCAUAUAAGAGAUUAAACUUACUGCAUUCAUCAUAAUACUCUACUUUUUAUCCCAUGACUGAAGUUACUUUCUAGUUCUAUACACUUGCAUAUUUUAAAAUAGCGUUGGGCUCAGAGUGGAGAAGGACACGUAACUCCCUCGAUGUUGGCUCUUAACACAGCCCAUUUGGUUUUCACCCAGCCGCCUUUCUCCUCCUUGGAAACCCAGGACAGGAGACGUCCUGUAUCUGCCGUCCCACCUGCCUCGUCCUGCUCACCUACCCUUCCCAUUCGAGCUGGGAAGUGUGUCCUUGAGUUCCUCAUCAAGACAGACCCCAGUCUGUGUGACCCCACGUAUCUCUUCCUCUCGAGCUCUUUAUGAAUAGCCUGGUGUUUACCACUGCCCCAUGUCCCAAAUUCUCACUUUCUUUGGGUCAAAGACAGAUCGGUUUUAAAGCUUACCUUACGUAGAUAUCAUGCAUCCACUAUGAAACCGCAGAAGAACAGUGAGGAUUACCCAAGAGAAAGUGCACGAAAUGUCCAGAGCACAGCAGUUGGUUUGCAAGACAGGGUAGGAUGCAUCACACACAGGGAGAAGCUGGCGUUCCUAAGGACCAAGACAGGUCAUUCAUAGCAGCAGACAGUCAGCAGUAACGCUUGACCUCAGAGGCAGAUGGGUGGGCAGACAUGUCCAUGGGAUCCUCUCUGGCUUCUUUUUGUCAGUGAAAUUGGAAUCUAGGUUUCGUCUAAGGGUGGGCUUGGGGGAAGAGUGGCAGAGGCUUUCAUUGAGAGCACAUCUAAAUUAAUUUUAAGGAAACUGAGACAGGAAGAGACUUUGGAAUUAUUCGUGAUACGAGGGGCUCACUUGAUAUCGUGAAUAGGAAUUCCAAGUGAGACCAGCAGCUUGGUCAUAGGAGGUCUCUUUGGUAGCACAAGUGUAAGCCUGGAGUGCUCUGUUACGUAAAUGAGCCAAAAAAUGGCCUCUCUGACCCAGAAACCAUUGGUGUCAGAGCCUGUGGGAUUGCUGUCCCCAGGAUUACAGAGAUGAUGACCUGUGUGGCCGCAUGCUAUAGCCAUAGCCAUUUAAAAAUAUUUGCUGAUGUGAUAAACGAGAGGACAGAAGCAUCCGGAUUAUCUACAAAUAUAAAGCAUAAACGUAAUUUAAAAAUGAGUGGGAAAUGAGAGGACAUGGGUGAGAGAAAUGGGGAAAGUAUUAGAGGGCAAAGCAAAAACAUGAAAUCUCGUCAGAGCCUUUUUUUUCUGCUGUGUAGCAGUAAAUGAUGCCAAAAGAGUAACGGAGACCAGAUUACAAAGGGUCCUGUUGUCACUUUGGACAUGGUCCCCUGUAACAGACAGAACGUAACACUUUGUAUAAGAAAGCGUAUCCACUUUAACUCAGUCAUACGCCACUUUUUUUAAAUGAUAUUUUAAUUUUGUGGCCACACCCACUGCAUAUGGACGUUCCCGGGCUAGGGAUUAAAUAUGAGUCACAGCUUCAGCCUACACCACAGCUGCAGCAAGGCCACAUCCUUGAACCCACCGGUGCUGGAUCAGGGAUCACAUCUGCCCCUCUGCAGCGAACUGAGCUGCUACAGUCAAAUUCUUAACCCACUGCACCACAGCGGGAACUCCUGGACACACUUCAUUUUUAAAUCUUGGUUAAGUAAAUAAAAUGUGGAGCCAGAGAUAUUCAGAUUCAGAUCGAAUGUCACCUUCCAUUUGCUAUACGAUUUCACAUAAAUCAUUUGAUCUGCAGUUCCCUUUGUCUCUGCAUCUUUUUAGUGGUGAGGUUGUAUUUCUAAAGGCUGUUUUGAACAUCAGUGAGGGGGAUUUCUGAGCACUAAACAGGGCCCUAGAAAAUGGUGACCUCUCAGGGGGUAUGUACAUAAUUCUUUUGGGGGGUUCUGUGUUCUUUCUAACAUUUUUCUGUGUAUAUUAUCAUAUCAAAGCACUCAGCAGACCUUUGGGAAGUAAAAAUGUCCUUAUUCAUUUUCUUAAGGGAUAGUUAAUGUUAAUUACUCUCCCUGCAAGUAAUUUAGUCCUGUACUUCGGGAAAAGGCCCCAUACCCUAGAGGAUCGCCAAGUCCCCUGCCACCUACACCCUUGAAUCCAGUGGGAUUGGGUGUUGGGUAUAAGCCAGCUCACGUUCAGUGAGCAUCCUCCUUCGCAUCUGCUCCUUACACAAGCUGGCUCCCUGGAUGAUUCUUAGCUUCUAAUUUGGGUGAGUUGAUAGAGAUAAAGGUCAGGAAAAGAGAGGAGGGGGCUACAUUCCAAACAUCGGCUUUUAAAAUUAUGAGAUCCUCAAAAAGGUAAUUCCCAGCUCUUCGAAUAGCCUUAGUACAAUUAAAAAUAAAUAGCAUAGACAUAUAAUAGACUAAAAAGAUUCAGUGGAGCCUUUUUCCAUUACCGAUGUGAAUAUGUACCUCUUGAUUAGCUAAACUCUAAGGAGCAAAUGGUUAUGGAAACCCCACGUGAGAAUGAACGUAGCAUUAAAGCUGAUUGACCUGGACAGGCUUUGAAAUCAAGACAGUUGGGAGCAACAAGCAACCGUUUUCCUCCCACUUAAUAUUAGAUGUUGAUCGAUCAUGGCAAAUAGUGUUUGUGGAAGAAUAUUUAAGAGGAAAGCGAAAAAAAUGUGUGUGUUUGUUGCGGUGAUCAGUUGGGCAAGAAUGGGCCAUAAACAACCUCUUCUGUUUCCUCUGUUUUCAUAAUAUUUCAGACGACUGCAUUCUCUCAGCCACAUUAGCUGUUAUUGUUUUUGAUGUAGCUCAUCUGCAGACUAGUUAAGCUGUGCAGAUAAGAGAGAGCAGAGUGUGGAGAAAGACUUCCAGACUAAAACGUUAUAGGACAAAAGUUCUCCUGAGUGGGUUUUCCAGAGGAAGUGUGCUGAAAUCUCUGCGUCUACCGUUUCUAUGCUCAGGCCUCAAUUCCUGGCUGGAAGCUUAGAAAGUCUGAUAAUU
rnacentral:lncRNA from 1 species